rnacentral:misc_RNA from 1 species
AAAAGUACAACCCACAUGUUACCUUGAAAGUUUUUCUUCUAUGCAACCAAGUUUUGAAUCCUUGUAAUAUGCAACCACAUUUGAAAUGAUUUUGUCAAAAUUUGCAUGAUAGAAGACAAAUAAUUAAUUAGUUUCUUUAAGAUAGAAAAUCGAAGAAACCAAAUUAAAACAAGGGAAAAACAAUCCCUAGGGUUUUCUCCAAAACCCAAAUUUUGAUUCUACAAGCAAGCAAUCAAAUAUUUUGUCCAACGUAUUAAUAAUAAUAGGAGGAGAAGCGUCAUU